UACAGGGGGUGCUAGCGUUGUUCGGAAUUACUGGGCGUAAAGGGCGCGUAGGCGGUCUUGCAAGUCAGGGGUGAAAUACCGGAGCUUAACUCCGGAAUUGCUUUUGAUACUGCAAGGCUAGAGUGUAUUAGAGGAUGGCGGAAUUCCUAGUGUAGAAGUGAAAUUCGUAGAUAUUAGGAAGAACACCGGUGGCGAAGGCGGCCAUCUGGGAUACAACUGACGCUGAGGCGCGAAAGCGUGGGGAUCAAACAGGAUUAGAUACCCCUGUAGUCC
rnacentral:rRNA from 1 species